rnacentral:rRNA from 1 species
AUACGGAGGGUCCAAGCGUUAUCCGGAUUCAUUGGGUUUAAAGGGUCCGCAGGCGGGAAAAUAAGUCAGUGGUGAAAGCCUACAGCACAACUGUAGAACUGCCAUUGAUACUGUUUUUCUUGAGUAUAGAUGAAGUGGGCGGAAUAUAUCAUGUAGCGGUGAAAUGCAUAGAUAUGAUAUAGAACACCGAUUGCGAAGGCAGCUCACUAAACUAUUACUGACGCUCAGGGACGAAAGCGUGGGGAGCGAACAGGAUUAGAAACCCCAGUAGUCC